UGAAACUACAGGUUUUCAGCAUAAAAUCUACACACCAGGCUAUUCCGGUGUUGUUCAUUGCUUGCAAAAUAAAACGUUUGCGAGUUCACUCAAACAUUAAUAAAUUUUCACAUGAUAUAAUUUCACUAAACAACGAAAAGUCAUCAUUACAAUGACAUAUAGGCUGUAGCUGACGAGAGCGUCAAGCGAAUAAGUUAUUGUGAGGAAGAAAAGCAAUUACAUUAAGAUUAGUGUCAAGAUAAGAUGUGUUAACACAAUUAGGCUAGAAGCGAUAAUAAGGUAAAAAUGUAUAAGUGUUUGCUGCCAAGAGG